GAGACCGAAAAGGUUGUGCGUAGGCCAGGCUACGACUUAAAACUACUGGGAGCCACGAGGGAUUCCAUGAAAAUCAAUCAAUGGAAAGACUCAUUCGGGGAUAAGGGAAAAAUAUGCAGGGGAAACAGGUAGAUCAGAACAAAACUGAAAUACUCAAUCCAAACAGGGGACGAUGAUUAAUAGAAGUAUAUUAUCCACUACCUGUUAUUGGGUAGGAAGAUAAUAUAAUCUGACAGAGAGGACAUCCGUUACCGGUUAGGGUA
rnacentral:lncRNA from 1 species